UCUGCCUGGUAGUGGGGGACGAACGUUUCGAAAGGAACGCUAAUACCGCAUACGUCCUACGGGAGAAAGCAGGGACCUCGGGCCUUGCGCUAUCAGAUGAGCCUAGGUCGGAUUAGCUAGUUGGUGAGGUAAUGGCUCACCGAGGCGACGAUCCGUAACUGGUCUGAGAGGAUGAUCAGUCACACUGGAACUGAGACACGGUCCAGACUCCUACGGGAGGCAGCAGUC
rnacentral:rRNA from 1 species